rnacentral:lncRNA from 1 species
GCGGCUUCACUCUCCAGGACCCAUUUAUUCAAUGGAGAGUGUAUCUUCACAGCUCCCUUAAAAAUGUCUAUUUUGAAGGAAAAAAAUCCAGCCAAAGAUGCUAUUUGAAAAUGUUUAAUACUGACUCUAAAUCCACAGAAAUGUUUGUGGUUCACAGCCAGGAUACCACAUCUUCUCAUAGGCAUGAAAGCAAAAGGGACCCAGUGACCACCAUAAAGUCAAAUGCCUUCUGGGGGGAGUCUGAUGACAGUAACUCAGAAAUUGAAGCUGCUCUACGUCCUAGAGACCAUGACACGCCUGAUGAUUUUGAUGAUUUUUAUGACACAUAAGCCGUUGCAUGCUUAGAAAUAGUCUUUAAAACAAAGUCACUGUGAUAAUGUGUAAUUCCCAACAUAAACAUAUCCUUCUAAGUUUGCUAGUUGUGAAAGGUGAAACAGACUAUCAUUCAAGGGAGACUGUAUGAUAGGAAUGGGAACAAGGCCUGGGAAGUAGCUGACUAGUACAACACUUGCCCACCAUGAGAGGGUCAGAGUGUUGAUCCCUAGCACCAGGGAGCCCUAUGGGAAGCCAAAUGUGAAGGCAGCAGGAGGAUGGUGAUUUCUGGGCCAUCCUAAGCUAUCUAGCCAGGCCCUGCCAGCCCAGCACUUGGGAGGUAGAGGCAGGAGGAAGAGAAGUUCCAAGCUAGUGUCAGCUACAUAAAACCCUCUGGUAGUUUAAAUGCUCAGUCGCAAGUUGGUUUGGGAAAGAUUGAGAGGAGUGGUCU